rnacentral:lncRNA from 1 species
CAGAAGUAAAAGCCAGGCUGUGUUUGGUGGUUUCCAGUGACAGGACAAGAGGCAAUGGGGACAAACUGAAACACAGAAGAUUCCCUCUGAAUAUUAGGAAACACUUUUUUACUGUGAGGUUGACUGAGCAUUGGCACAGGUUGCCCAGGGAGGUUAUGGUGUCUCCACCCUCAGCCCAUGGUGGUGGAACAGUCACAUAUUGAGGUAUUUUGAUGGCCUCUGUUGAAGGUAAUCUCUUAUCAACCCAGCUUCAGAGCUGGAAGAGGAAGAGUGAAUUCCCAUAAGACUCGGUGCCCACCAAUACUGGAGUAUUUCUGUGGAAGCCAAGAGGACUGAGGGCAGGAUGGAACCUUCAUCAUUUUGACCAUUUUGGCUUCCCAAUGUUACCCAGAUUUUUGUCCUGCAUGCAAAGGCUGUCAUCACAGGCCUCUCCACCUUUCACCCAAGCCACAGUGGCCUGUCAUCUUGCACUCAAACCCCAUGCUGUAUAUCAGUAUUUAUUUCUGUGGAGGAAGGUGCAGAUGCAUGGCAACACCACCUUCAAGUUGCAGAGGGACCUUGAAGGCAGACUUCCCGUCUCCUGAGAUGUAAGCACACAGCCAGCAUUAUUCUACACCAGUUAAAUAACCUCAUUUCACAGGUAAUUUACA